rnacentral:rRNA from 1 species
ACUUAGUGGCGGACGGGUGAGUAACACGUGAGUAACCUGCCUUGGAGUGGGGAAUAACAGCUGGAAACAGCUGCUAAUACCGCAUGAUGCAGUUGAGUCGCAUGGCUCUGACUGCCAAAGAUUUAUCGCUCUGAGAUGGACUCGCGUCUGAUUAGCUAGUUGGUGGGGCAACGGCCCACCAAGGCGACGAUCAGUAGCCGGACUGAGAGGUUGGCCGGCCACAUUGGGACUGAGACACGGCCCAGACUCCUACGGGAGGCAGCAGUGGGGAAUAUUGGGCAAUGGGCGCAAGCCUGACCCAGCAACGCCGCGUGGAGGAAGAAGGCCUUCGGGUCGUAAAGCUCUGUUGCGGGGGAAAAAAGGCAGCAUCAGGAAAUGGGUGCUGACUGAUGGUGCCCCGCCAGAAAGUCACGGCUAACUACGUGCCAGCAGCCGCGGUAAUACGUAGGUGGCGAGCGUUAUCCGGAAUGAUUGGGCGUAAAGGGUGCGCAGGCGGUCCUGCAAGUCUGGAGUGAAACGCAUGAGCUCAACUCAUGCAUGGCUUUGGAAACUGGAGGACUGGAGAGCAGGAGAGGGCGGUGGAACUCCAUGUGUAGCGGUAAAAUGCGUAGAUAUAUGGAAGAACACCAGUGGCGAAGGCGGCCGCCUGGCCUGUUGCUGACGCUGAGGCACGAAAGCGUGGGGAGCAAAAGGGAUUAGAUACCCUAGUAGUCCACGCCGUAAACGAUGAGGACCAAGUGUUGGGGGUGAAACCUCAGUGCUGAAGUUAACGCAGUGAGUCCUCCGCCUGGGGAGUAUGCACGCAAGUGUGAAACUCAAAGGAAUUGACGGGGGCCCGCACAAGCGGUGGAGUAUGUGGUUUAAUUCGAAGCAACGCGAAGAACCUUACCAGGCCUUGACAUGGGAUGCGAAGAUGCAGAGAUGCAUCGGAGGUCAACAUCCACACAGGUGGUGCAUGGUUGUCGUCAGCUCGUGUCGUGAGAUGUUGGGUCAAGUCCCGCAACGAGCGCAACCCUUGUGGCAUGUUGCUAACAGGAAAAGCUGAGGACUCAUGCCAGACUGCCGGUGACAAACCGGAGGAAGGCGGGGAUGACGUCAAAUCAUCAUGCCCCUUAUGGCCUGGGCUACACACGUACUACAAUGGCGGCUACAAAGAGCAGCGAGACAGGGAUGUCGAGCGAAUCUCAUAAAAGCCGUCCCAGUUCGGAUUGGAGGCUGCAACCCGACUCCAUGAAGUUGGAAUCGCUAGUAAUCGCGGAUCAGCAUGCCGCGGUGAAUACGUUCCCGGGCCUUGCACAAAGCGCCCGUCAA